GGAACAUCUCCAUGUUCUUCAUCAGUGGCCUGUGUGUGGGAGCACCGUUUCUCCUCUGCUAUUGCAGGGGAAGAAAACCUGCUUUAAGAGAAGAGGUGGACUGUUAAACACAAUGUCUUCACAUCUCACAGUGCAUCAUGGUUGCAGUGAACCUGUAGCCUUAAGCCCACCUGGAGCCGGGAGACUCCUGGACAAGGUGGAAGACACCCUGGACAGGAUGCCUACAGGUUAUAUGGCACAAUCGCACACCCAUUCACACACUAUGGACAAUUUAGAGACAUCAAUCAGCCUACAAUGCACGUAUUUGGACUGGAGUACAGGAGUACCCAGAGAAAAAAUGCUCAGUAGUGUGAAUGGAAUCCUGUUGGUGUGAAGCAAAAGUGCUCAUCACUAACCCAUGGUUUAUUGAACCCCUGCUUCCAGGUCAGUUUAUGAUAAGAAUAACUUCUCUCUAGAUGAGUUCAUUACAGGGAUCUCUUGAUCAAUUUAAAAA